rnacentral:lncRNA from 10 species
CUUGCACCAACAUCCCCUGAAUUCUGGCCAGGAGGCUUCUCACCUGGUUCAAAUUGUUACAAAGUUCAGCUGGAGACCUCUCUGUGGCAUUUUCCUUGCACCUCUGGCCACCCUCCCAAAGGAUCCCUGUGGUUCCAGGUAGGAAUGGCCUGCUUGGGGACCCAGUGAGCUCCCAGGGCCUUUCCUGCUGCUUCCUCUACCCCUGUAUUGUGCUCGGCUCUCUAAAUUGACUCAGCUUCAGGGCAGUAGUCAGAAAAGAAAGGAACUGAUCUUGGACUUGAAGAAACAGCCCCAGAGGUGAAAGAGAUAGUCGUUAACCUGCACAGCCUCUUUCCAGCCUCUUCACAGAUAACAAGGGCUUUCGGAACAAGAAACUUGUAUAUUCUGUGCAGCUCAAAUAAAAUUAAGAAGCUGAACAUCAGUUGACAAAGAGUAAAAAAUAACUGGGAGUUGACGGGAAAAUAAACUGUCGUUUAUGAAAAUGUAGCUUAUUCCAGAACACCAGAUUUCAAAAGAUACAGAAUCCUGUUGCUCCACAAUUCAAUUUGUCCUACAGUUCACCUUCCUAAGUUCACCUUCCUAGGUUCACACAGCAUGCUAAUGGCAGAACCAGGACUUGAAUCCAGGUAUUCUGACUCUAGCUCAAGUGUUCUGUAUUUAUAGCUGAAUAACUAUUUUAGACAAGGACAGUCUAUCAAAAUUUAGUGUGUAG